GGGGACAGCACCUGCUGUAGGUGCACUUUCGUGGGAACCUAAAUAGGUUCUUUCCGGUGCCCACAGUGAGUCUUGUGGAGGCAGGACAGGGAGGCAUUGUAGUGAGGUCUCCUCUACAUUAUUCUGGACAUUCCAGCGUACAACAGACUCACCUUCCACAGCUAUUUGUGUGUGGAAAACGUGCCAGCCUGCAAGUUGAAGCUUAGACAUUUUGAGUGUUCACAAAUACAGAAGAAAGUAUUUUCAGAUGUAAAACAAGAGAAACCCCUUACCGUCUUCACUUUCGGUUCCGCUGUCCAGCUGAGGGUUAAUAAACGCAGAAAACCUGGAGAUGAUCCAAAUAUAGUGAGGACUGUGAAGACCAAGCUCAGCACUGCAGGUACC
rnacentral:lncRNA from 1 species